rnacentral:rRNA from 1 species
UACGUAAGGCGCAAGCGUUAUCCGGAAUUAUUGGGCGUAAAGAGCUCGUAGGCGGUUUGUCGCGUCUGCCGUGAAAGUCCGGGGCUCAACUCCGGAUCUGCGGUGGGUACGGGCAGACUAGAGUGAUGUAGGGGAGACUGGAAUUCCUGGUGUAGCGGUGAAAUGCGCAGAUAUCAGGAGGAACACCGAUGGCGAAGGCAGGUCUCUGGGCAUUAACUGACGCUGAGGAGCGAAAGCAUGGGGAGCGAACAGG